UACGAAGGGGGCUAGCGUUGUUCGGAAUUACUGGGCGUAAAGGGCGCGUAGGCGGUCCUGAUCGUCGGGUGUGAAAGCCCUGGGCUCAACCCAGGAAGUGCACUUGAAACUUCGGUGGCUUGAGUUCUGGAGAGGAUGGCGGAAUUCUCGGUGUAGAGGUGAAAUUCGUAGAUAUCGAGAGGAACACCGGUGGCGAAGGCGGCUAUCUGGACAGUGACUGACGCUGAGACGCGAAAGCGUGGGAGCAAACAGG
rnacentral:rRNA from 1 species